CAAUAGCCCAGGUAGAAGCGGCAUCCUCUUGUGACUCCCAAUAUUUAUUGGGAGUCACAAGAGAUACAGCGGAUGACUGGAAAAAGC
rnacentral:sRNA from 1 species